GACGUAGGGCGCGAGCGUUGUCCGGAUUUAUUGGGCGUAAAGAGCUCGUAGGCGGUUUGUUGCGUCGUUUGUGAAAACUCACAGCUUAACUGUGAGCUUGCGGUCGAUACGGGCAGGCUAGAGUUCGGUAGGGGAGACUGGAAUUCCUGGUGUAGCGGUGAAAUGCGCAGAUAUCAGGAGGAACACCGGUGGCGAAGGCGGGUCUCUGGGCCGAUACUGACGCUGAGGAGCGAAAGCGUGGGGAGCGAACAGG
rnacentral:rRNA from 1 species